CAGUCCGUCUCCAACACGAACACGAGUCUGGAACUAAAAAGGUCGAUCUGGCGUUGAUUUUCCCCUCAUCCCUGUCUCUUCUGAUCUCUCUCACCUCCCGUCGCUUUCCGUCGUCGACCGAUUCCGCAAAGCGUCGCGCUCAAGGAAGGCGUGCUCGCUACCAUCGCCACCGCGCCCCCAUCCCCUCUCCCUGGUGCCCGUCCUCGCUCCACCGUCGCCGAAUCCGGACGAGAUCGGUUCAAUCCGCCGCAUCUCGCGCCCGCGGCCGGCCGUGGCUUUCGGCGGCAUCGGGGGCGCUGGUCCGCCCCCGCUCCUCCGGGGCUGGCGGAACGACGGAGCGGCGCUCUGGUCAGGUUUCUCUGCUUCGAGAGCGGUGCGUGGGCUGAUGUCGAGGGCGAGGCGGCUGUGCCUCUGCGUCGGGCGUUCCUGGACGGGAGGGUGUUCGCAGAGGCCGCGUAUGGCGGUAGGGAGUUCCUGUUCGACUUCAUGUGGAUGGUGCGCAUCGACGCUGGCACCGCCGAGGAGGUCGCCAUGGGCUGGAUUGAUGACCGCGGGGCCUGCUUCUUCCCUGUGCCAGAGAGCGGGAGGAAGAGGAAGAGGGGCGAGCCUGGGCUGGAGGAUGGGGCGUCGUCCGGGGUGGAUGAGAGGUCCGACAAGAGCAACGACACGGUGGAGUCCUCAAUCCAGCCUAAUCUCCUGCCCCUCUCAAGCACUCCCCGUGUAGCAGUCCUGGUGUGUAGACUGCCAUGGCAACGCUACAUCCAUUCAUUAUGGGCAACAAGGCGGCCAGCUUGGGGCAAGGCGGUGAGGUUGGAGGAGACGGACAAGUUCUACUAGGUUGUUACUCGUCAAGAAGCUCUUCCUCAGAGGGAUAGCCCCGGGUGGGCGGCGGCGUGGCGAUCACAGCGAUGCACAAGGUCUUGCAGGGUCCCCGGUCCAGGGCGUUCCAGAUGUAGGGCCAGCUCCUAGCCGCUGCGCGCGGUGCCGACGAGGGCAAUGCCAAGUUCGCGUGGUAUGGCGCUCCGUUUGCGGAUGUGGCCGCGGCGGUGGAGCACGUGUUCGGCAGGAUGAACAGCCAGGUCCUUUGCCAUCGCGCGCACGCAGAGGAAGGCUACUGAUGCAUCUGAGUUCUCUUCUCAUUUCAAAGAAAGUCAUCAAGUUGAUGCAUCUGAGUUCUUGGAUCUAAAGCAUAAUACAAUGAAAGGUAAUUUUUUAUGAAUAGGAAGAUUGACUAGGGGAGGAUUAUGUAUUGAGGUAGGGAAAGUUGUGGUCGUGCGGCCAUACAGAGAAAUCCUCACCUUGAAGAAUGAAACAAAUGGUGAUCAAAGAUGUUCUUUCUACCAAAGAACCAGGCCGUGCCGAGGUAGUGGUGUGGUUCCGAUGAUGGUGGCGAGGCUAAAACAAGGGAGAUGACUUGGAGUUAUUUUAAGCAUGAGUUGUGUAAUGGUGUGGUUCCUUAACUCAUCCCUUUCAGAUCUUACCCCUAUGUUAUCGAUCACCUAUUUCAUUUUGUGUUUACUGAUAUAGAAUUUAGUACACUAUUUUUUGCCACUAAUGACCAAUCUACAAAAUAAAGCAAACUACAGUAUCAGCUACAAGGUACUAUAUGCAGUCUGAUUUAUCGAUCAUUCGACUGCUUCAUAAAGGAAAAGUGCUAAAUGCCAACUGACAAGAUCAAUAGUAGAGUAAAGGGAUGGAAGGAAAAAUAAGUGUCUCCAGUUUCCUUGGUGGUGUGUGCAAGCUGUGAAGGUUCUGUUGUGAUGAAUAAUGGAGCGUUGGCAGUGAGCUGACCAGAUGGACAACUGGCUGGAGGUACCGAGGUGGUAACUAAACCAUGCAUCAUGGCACAAUUUAUUUUACUUUCUAAUCAUCUCAUUUUCUAACUAAACCUGAGAUGCAAACUGAAUAUAAGCCACAAUAGUGGAGCUAGCAGGCCUCAUCAACUCGGACGUCUGGCCGCUGCCCAUGGUCUCACGUGCUCAUGGCAGGGCUACUUGAUGUCGCGGACAUACUCAUGUGGACGGCCCAUUUGAUCCGUCCUCUUUGGACUACAUAUAUGCUGUAUAGAGGUGUUAUGUUUGGUGUUCUUUUAGGGUAUUUAAAUUUAUCAUGUCAACGGUCAAAUUGUUCUUCCCCGCAUAUAAUUAAGAGGUCAAAUUGUUCAAAUGUGGCAGCAAGUUCUGGGUAGCUAGCGAACACUUCUCGGUUUUUGUGUCUGAUAUUCAUAUAGGUGCCAAGUUGUAUGACGGAAAAUGAAUUACCUCUUGUGUUUCCUGGGUUUAAGAUCUAGAAAUGGAUGGCAUGUUAUUUUUUAUGACAUUUAUUACUCGCCAAUAAAUCAUGUGUCUUUAUACUUUUUUGUGCCUUGUUACUAAAAAGGUCUAACUGAUGUGCAUAAGGAUCAUAAGACAUAAUUGUAUAUUCACCAAGAUCAUAAUUUUAUAUUUUGUUCACCAAAAUCUUAAUUUUAUAUAUUCUUUUCAUAAAACCAUCAGAUUUAUAUUAACAUACCGGCUAGCAGCUAGGUAAUCGGUUGAAGCUGAGAUUAGCUUAGCUAGCUGUAGCCAUCGAGUUAUUAGGGCUUCUGAUGUAAUUGAUGGUGUAAUGGAAUCAUUGUUUUACGCCUUUUGGACCUUGACAACCUGCAACUUGACGUGAGAAAAUUGUUCCCAGUUCAAUUUUGUCAGAAAAUGUACAGUGCCCCCUAGAGUAAUUAUCUGGUAGAGCUAAUGUGUAACAUGUAAUAUGUACAUGAUCAUUUAAUUUCAAUCUACUGUGAAAUUGUUGCAAUAGAUCGUGUUUGAUAACUUUUGAGAAGCAUCUAAAUUGUAUUUUUCAUUACUUACAUUUCAGCAAACCCAUUGUUUGUUUGUGCUGUAUAUGCCUGCUGAUUUUAGUGCUCGAGAGUCUAGACUUCAGAGUAAUAGAGUAUCGAAACCUACCAGUUAACAGUGUUUUUCUUGUUUUAUAUUAAAACUUGAGAUAUUAUCACAAUUGCUUUGCCUAAGAGGGCCAAGAUAGGUAUUUCCACUAAUUGUUCAUAUUUGGAUCCUAGGUUAGGCAACUCUGAAAAAUUACUCUGAACAUAAAAUAAAUCUGCAACAUUAUACAUCGAAAGGUACAAUAAGUUCCCACUAUUUGUGCAGCAAUUGUGUGAUACUUUUUUUAGUUUAUCUUUGAUACAAUUCUGUGUACAAUCCCUGGAUUUUUUGCCUUAAAGACUGAAUUCUGUGUGGAUUUCUUGAUCCGCUUUCAACUAUGGCAGUUGGUAGCAACAUCUAGCAGCGACAACCAAUUAAUGAUCACAAGGUAAGGUAUUGAUGGGGAACUGCAACGAGGGAGAAGGUAAUGUACUCGUUGGUAAUGGAAGCUGCGCCUGCACACACGCUUGCUUGCUUUCCCAUUUACUGUUAUCUGCUGCUCAAGAGGAUGACAAUACUCACACCAAAUUUGUUGUGAUCCAGUGGGUGGGAGUGGCUUAAAUAGUUGUUGUGGCUUGGUAAUUUCUGUUUUCUCUGGAGCAUCACCGAAAGGCUUGCUAACCUGGUGGAAGAAACAUAUGUGUGCUCUUGCCUUACUUAUUUUGCCACUGUACAAUUCGUGCUUGAACACAAGAUUGUCCCCUAUUUGGUUCAUAUUUCAGUAGUUAGAUAUAUUUGAGCAGGAAAUGCACGUUCCUGCUGCUGUACUAUGCUUGAACACACAAGAAAAUCUGCACCUCAUCCA